rnacentral:snRNA from 1 species
GCACAUAUACUAAAAUUGGAACAACACAGAGAUUACGAUGCUCCCUGCGCAAGGAUAAUGUCCAAAUUUGUGAAGAGUUCCAUAUUAUU